GAAGUCUGGUCUUUUGAAAGAGCUAUUUACCACUGAGCUCCCUCUCUAGCCCAAGAUCUGCUAGAGAUUUUUAAGAGAAUACUUUAAAAUAUGAACAAAAAGUAUUGUUUUUGAUUAGUUAUAUUUCUGAAAGAGCUAUCUUACAUCUUGUGAGACUGAGACAUUAAAGAAAAGGGGGGAAUUGAGUGAAAGUUGGGAACAUUCCUGAAAAAAAAUUACAGGAGCUACUGUACCUAUACUUUCUUUAGGUAUUUGUAAAGGUUAUUCCACUGGCACAGUGAGAAAUAAAGGCUAUAGCAUCUAGUGGUCCAGAUCUUGUAAUGGGGUGUAACAUGGGCUUACAUGAAAUUAGCUUACAUCUAGCUACUUCAGAAGAUACACAUUUCUAGAGACAAAGAGGAACUAGAGUCAACUUGAUAAGAAUUUCAUCCCACAUUCCACUCCAUCAAACUGAAUCAUAGAAAAGGAUGAGACCGCGUGUAGCUGGUGGCUGUAUGAACAAGGAAUAGGUGAACCCGAUGGGAGAUAAACAGAGGGAUUAAUGUUUCUGCAUCAAAACACAGAAUUUAGGAGAGCCAACACUACAGCCAGCUAGUGUAAACUGGAGAGUGUGGAUAUAUCUUUCAUUCACAAGCCAAAUAAUUUCUUCAUAUCUUAAGGUAACUUGCUCAUAGGGUAGGGAGGGCAGGAGUCUGGGCUGGGCAUAAAGGGAAGAGCAGGGCCCGCUGUGCCUGCACUUACUUCUGGCACAGAUGUGUUUACUAGCAACCUCAGCUGAAACACUAUGGUGGAGCUCACUGCAGAGGAGAAGGCAGCCAUCACUGCCACGUGGACUAAGGUGAAGGCAGAAGAACUUGGUGUUGAGUCCCUGGAAAGAAUACUGACGGUUUAUCCACACACCAAGAGAUACUUUGACCACUUUGGAGACUUCUCCUUCUGUGCUGCCACUGAAGAUAACCACAAGCUGAAGGCUCUUGGUAAGAAGAUGAUAGAAUCCUUUAGUGAGGACCUGCAAUCCCUGGACAACCUGCACUACACCUUUGCCAGCCUGAGUGAGCUGCACCAUGACAAGCUUCAUAUGGAUCCUGAGAACUUCAAGCUCCUGGGCAGCAUGAUAGUGAUUGUGAUGUCUCCACACUUUGGCAACAGCUUUACUUCAGCACUGCAAGCUGCUUUUGAGAAGGUGGUGGCUGCUGUUGCAGAUGCUAUGGCUUACAAGUAUUACUGAGACCCCUUCUUUCGCAUGGUCAUUGGAAGAUCCUUCUCUAGAAUCCUGUGUUUUGAAGGAUGUGCAACACAAUAGAAGAUCUACAAGGAAAAAGCUGCUCUGUAUUUAUGCAAAUAGUUGGAAGAAAACUCUAUAGAGAUACUAAAGGAAGGCAAAAGAUAGGAUUUGAAAAUUGAAACUGAAGAAGAACGAAGACCAAAGUGUGGACACUUUGCCCCUUCUUAGAAUUGGAAACAAUCAUCCAUGGAA